rnacentral:rRNA from 1 species
CCUACGGGUGGCAGCAGUGAGGAAUAUUGGUCAAUGGGCGCGAGCCUGAACCAGCCAAGUAGCGUGAAGGAUGACUGCCCUACGGGUUGUAAACUUCUUUUAUAAAGGAAUAAAGUGAGGCACGUGUGCCUUUUUGUAUGUACUUUAUGAAUAAGGAUCGGCUAACUCCGUGCCAGCAGCCGCGGUAAUACGGAGGAUCCGAGCGUUAUCCGGAUUUAUUGGGUUUAAAGGGAGCGUAGAUGGGUUGUUAAGUCAGUUGUGAAAGUUUGCGGCUCAACCGUAAAAUUGCAAUUGAUACUGGCAGUCUUGAGUACAGUUGAGGUAGGCGGAAUUCGUGGUGUAGCGGUGAAAUGCUUAGAUAUCACGAAGAACUCCGAUUGCGAAGGCAUCUCACGAAUCCGCGAUUGACGCUGAUGCACGAAAGCGUGGGUAUCAAACAGGAUUAGAUACCCUUGUAGUC